rnacentral:tRNA from 1 species
UGGGGUGUAGCUCAGUGGUAAAGAGCUUGCCUGGUAUGUCUGAGACCCUAGGUUCAGUCCCUAGCACACCAC